CGUGUGUGUGUGUGUGUGUGUGUGUGUGUGUGUGUGUUUCACUCUCUAAAUUCUUCAAGGCUCUGAAUCCAGUUUGCAUAUUGAGCUUCCAGGAACUAUUUUCAACUUCCAAGGGCAUUUGAGCAUGAAGAACACAUUUCUUGAUGUCUUUAGCUACAAAUUGGCACGCAGCUGGGCUUGCAGUAGCAUCAUGAGGAGGGGGCCAACAUCUUAAAUCCGCUGUUUAUUACCCAGGAAGUUCUGAUCAAGUUUAUGGUUCUAAAGACUUCAACAUAUCAACUCCACUGAAGAACAGGACAAGCUAUUGUAAAUAUGAACCAUCAAAGCACCAGCCAUUUCAAUGAAAUGAAGCAAAUCAAUUGUUUUUCGCAAAGGUGCCUUUCAGAUCUCCUUUUUCAGGUUCUCCAUUACUUUAUUGGUUUCAGCGUUUUUUGUAUGUUAGGCUAUUGAAUGAAAAUAAACUAACUGAAAGGGUCUCCCUCCCCUAAUUAAACUUCCGGAGAUCAUUUGUCUCAUUAUGGCACCUUGACACGUUUUACUUGACCAAAAUGAGUGGAGUUACCUUGAAAUGUUGCAGACAGAGGCACACCUCAAAGAUCACAAUCUUGCAGAAUAAUGUCCUGCACGUCACUUUGAAUUUUCUCCUCCUGGUGAGGGAAAGCUGAAAAACAAAAAAAGGAAGAGAAGUAAUGAACAGUGUUUGAGGAAUCUGAAACCUUUCAAUGGGGAGAAAGUGUCCAGCUGGUUCAUCAGGUUUUCUUCACAUAGGAAUAUCACUGAUUUCCCUCACUAAGGAGGCAUUGAUGCCUUCUGUGACAUCAGUAGCCAUUCCAACAAUCGCCACAUACAAAUCAAACCUAUUUAGUCAAGGUACGGUAUGUAUGCAUUCGCCCUGCCUGUACCCCAAAUAGUGAAGCAAAUUAGGAUGAUUUGGGGUGGUCUUUCAGGUUAUUGAGUGGCUUCAUACUGUUAAAAAGAGGUGUGAAGGUGGAUCCGCGAGCACCCAACCUUCCAAGUAGCUCUGCUGCCUCAGUUUUCCCAUGAAGUUAAAUAUAUUGCAGAUUCUCCCCACUCCACCCCCAAUUUCUUUUCUUUUCUUUUCUGAGAAAUUAAGCCAAGCUGAGUGGGGAAUGCCCAGAGAUUGAGGGGGAAGGGUCCUCUCCAUCCAGCCCAGAGCUGCAAUGGUCCUCUACAUUCUUUAGAGAUCACCCCUUCUCAAGGCUGGCCCAACUGUGAAGCAAAAUGGGCUAAUUCUCUCCGGCCAGAGGUGCAUGGAUGGGAGAAGUGAAUUAGCCCUCACAUGCCUCAGAAUUGGCUGUCCUGUUUUACAAUUGGCUGGCCAACCUGCUUGCUCUCCUGCAGUGGCCAGCAUAAUCAGCAGCCUAACCGCUGAGGCAAGAUGAGACUGGCUGCUGCCCCCUCAACUCCCCUCUCUGAGGAAGUGCGAAUGGGCUUGUAAUUCUGAGCAAGAUGGCCAUGAUUGUGCCUCAACUGUUGCAGAGGUUCGUUGCCACAGCUAAAAAUACAAUUAAAGCUUUUUUUAAAAAGAAGAAGAUGUUGUAAAUAUUGUUCAUAGAAUUGUAAAGGUGGAAGGGACCACGAGGAUCAUCUACCGUAUUUUUCGCUCUAUAAGAUGCACCAGACUCACCUAGUUUUUGGAGGAGGAAAACAAGAAGGAAAAAAAUUCUGAAUCUCAGAAGCCAGAACAGCAAGAGGGGUCACUGCACAGUGAAAGCAGCAAUCCCUCUUGCUGUUCUGGCUUUUGGGAUAGCUGCGCAGCCUGCAUUCGCUCCAUAAGAUGCGAACACAUUUCCCCUUACUUUUUAGGAGGGAAAAAGUGAGUCUUAUAGAGCAAAAAAUACGGUAAGUCCAACCCCCUACCAACUUUGAAGCAACUUUUAAAUGGAGCCUAAAUGGGAUUUGUGGCCACAGUUUUAAUAGUAUUAAAAUGACAUUUAAUGACACUUCUGUAGCAGCAGCAGUGCAGGGAGUCACCCAGUCACCUUGCCCAGAAAGAUCCCUUUGGUUCCUUCUCGGUGUGAUGUGGGGGGGCGGGGAGGUUGAGAAGGUGACAGAGAAAACUCUUGUGCUGCCACCAGCAAUGAAACAACAAAACAAAAUGUGGCUGGGGAGGAGAGAUUGAUUGCUGGGCCACUCUGGGAAUAGUAGCUCUGGGAGGGGAAUGCAUACUUUUAGGCGCCAACCGAGGUUUGACUGUAUAUAGAUUUAAAUAAAUAAGUAAAACAGGGUUCUCCUAACAAUUUCCAGCACCUUUAGCAAACUACAGCUCCCAUAAUUCUUUGGGAGAAGCCAUGAUGGUUUAAAGUGGUGUCACGGUGCUUUAAAUGCAUGGUGCCCCAUCACUGGAAGUUGAUUGAAUUACAUGGCAAGUCACCACGUUAUGUUGCAUUGUAUCAUGGCAAAAUAAUAUAAACUAUCUUGGAGAUCGUUUGACUAGAAAGCUGAGAUAUAAAUCCUCAAAAUACACAAAUAAAUGCAUGUUAUUACCUAGGACGACAUGGUGAGAUCAAAAUGCAUUUCUGGUCUGGAGAAUCCCCUCUAGUCCUGUAUUUUAGGUUAUAAGGCAAUCAAUUUCUUCUUGGGAAAAAGAGAGAGAGAGAUCCAGGCUGAAAGAAGAACUAACUAGGCAAAAUAAUGGCUCCUGAAGUUGAGAUGCAAUUAUAAGCCUCUUCUUGGCCUCAAACAUAUUAUGCUACUAGCAUGUUCUCCUCCCGUUCACCUGCUGCAGGGGAGGAUGCUAAAUUGCUUUCUUGUUUGUAUUUUGGUAUGGUGCUCGUCUCUUUAUUACUAAAAGCCCUCCAUUGAUUCAGCUCCCCCCCCCUUUCCCGCAUUCUCCCUGUGGCACAUGCAUUAGGCAAGGCUAAGUGGAUAAUGGAGCAAGAACAAUCAUAAGGAUAAUGGUGGGUUACAGAAACAAUUAUGUAAGGAAUAACACAUGACAGGUGAUCUAAUCCAAAAUAUAUAGGCUUGCUGCCAUCUCCGCGGGAAAAUUAUGAGAUUCUGGGACAAAGGGCAACUGCAUUUCACCAGGCACACCCAGCAUGUUUGUGUUAACAUCAGCUACUGUUUAUCCGUCACACGGGAGUAUUCUUAUUAUUACUGUUAUUAAUAUUGUGCAUGCAUUUACAUUCCUAUCUCAAGAGUGCAGGAGGAGCCCUGCUAGUACAAACUAAAAAAAGCUGAUAUAGGCCACAUUCACACCACACAUUUAAAGUGCGAUGGUACGACUUUAAAGAUGCCUGCCUUCCCCCAAAGUAUCCUGGGAGCUAUAGUUCAGGCAUAGGCAAACUCAGCCCUCCAGAGGUUUUGGGACUACAACUCCCACCAUCCCUAGCUAACAGGACCAGUGGCCAGGGAUGAUGGGAACUGUAGUCUCAAAACAUCUGGAGGGCCAAGGUUGAGGAAGCUUGAUGCAGGAUAACCUCAGCCUUUCAGGCUGAUUGAAAACAACAGCAUACAGAACAAAACCAAGUUUGCCUAUGCCUGCUGUAGUUUGUUAAGGGUGCUGAGAGUUGUUAGGGCACCCCUUUCCCCCACACAGAGCUGUGGGGGAAAGGGGAGUCCUAUCAGCACGAGCCAACUGUCAGGGAUAGUCCUGCAACAUCUGGAAGACCACAGGUACCCCAAUGCUGCCUUCAGCCAGGCUUCCUCAACCUCGGCCCUCCAGAUGUUUUGAGACUACAAUUCCCAGCAUCUCUGACCACUGGUCCUGCCAGCUAGGGAACAUGGGAGUUGUAGGCUGUAAACAUCUGAAGGGCCAAGGUUGAGGAAGCCUGCCUUAAGCUCUGUAAGGGCACUUUUCAGUAAAGUCAGACUUGAUUGCUGGGUGAAAUGGAAAAGUUGUAGCACCAGUUUAUAGGCAACAGCUUCAACUGCAUUUAAUUCCUGUUGGGCAGUCAGAUGUAAUGCUCUUUCGGAGUCCUGACAGAAUAAUUUUUACACCAGCCCCCACCCCCAUCUCACCAAUUGCCUCCCUGGCAAAGUGCCACCUGCUCGCCUGGAAUAAGGGCCCCCAUGGCGUGUCGUUUCAGGGCUUUGUGGGAAACUAAAAGGGCAAGCACCUUGCAGCCUCCUGCCAACUGAGGUAAAUUCCAAGCCCGGGGAAGCAGGCAGGCUGGCCCAAGGCAGCACAGGCAGCAGCAUCCGUGGAGGGUUGGCAGCUGCCCAAAGAUGCCCACGCUUCCUGAAACUACAGCAGUGCAAGUGCUAAGGAUCUGGCCCAACUGCUGCUAAAGCAGGACCCUGGGAUCAGAGAGCAGGGCCUGCUGAGAAACAUGGACGCCUUCCAGAAUUAUGAGAAAUGGCUGUAAGCAAAUUUGUAACCUCUUACAAAGCGAUGCAAGGGGAUACUGGGGUGGGGUGGAGAACCUCAGGCCUGGGGGAUGAAUGCUGCUGUGUAGUCCUCAUAACACUCCCUAGGCCACACACUCUCUUGUCCAGGCCUGUUUCACCUCCCAAGGGUUUUUGGCUGGCUGCAAUGGGUCCUUGAGCUCUGAUAUUGCUUCCUGUGUGCCUGGAUAGAGGGUACAGAGUGUGUGUGUGUUUGUAGAAACUAGUACAAAGGCAAAUUUUACAUUUGUUGCUCCACCCACUUUUGCCUCUGGCUCCUCCUACCACUGCCAUGUGGCGUCCAAGUGGUUUCUCAGAAUGGAAUGUGGCCCUCGAGCUUCUCCACCCCAGGACUAAUGUAUAUGUACGGAGUAACCAUAAAUGGCCAAGCCAUUCCCUCUAAACCAUGGUCACUUGUCAGUCAGCUGAUGUCAAUGGGUGAUGUCAGUUGAUUGUUGUUGUUUAGUCAUCUAGUCGUGUCCGACUCUUCCUGACCCCAUGGACCAGAGCACACCAGGCACUACUGUCUUCCACUGCCUCCCGCAGCUUGGUCAAACUCAUGCUGGUAGCUUCGAGAACACUAUCCAACCAUCUCGUCCUCUGUCGUCCCCUUCUCCUUGUGCCCUCCAUCUUUCCCAACAUCAGGGUCUUUUCCAGGGAGUCUUCUCUUUUCGUGAGGUGGCCAAAGUAUUGGAGCCUCAGCUUCAGGAUCUGUCCUUCCAGUGAGCACUCAGGGCUGAUUUCCUUAAGAACGGAUAGGUUUGAUCGUCUUGCAGUCUGCAUGGGACUCUCAAGAGUCUCCUCCAGCACCAUAAUUCAAAAGCAUCAAUUCUUUGGCGAUCAGCCUUCUUUAUGGUCCAGCUCUCACUUCCAUACAUGUCAGCAGAUAGUGGGGUUCAAUUCUGCAUUGGCUGUGCAUACCAGUUCCCUGCUUAGAGCCUUGCAGAGAUCAGGCUUGGAGUCUCUGCUCAUCAUCUGAGCACAGAUGCUGAAGCAGACUCAGCUGAAGAGUGGAGCAUUCAGUCCUGCCAGGUGCUGCUUCGCCAGUGUGUUUCUUGCAGGAAAUGUACUGACAAAGCAGGUCAACCUCCCCUCAUCCCUGCAAGUUAACUUUGACAGGUGAGUGGGACUGCCUGACGCCAGAUGAUUGACAAGUGAUUGGCACUGCCUACCUGUGAAAGUUGGCCCAUGAGGUGAGGGGAGAUAAAGAUCUGGUGCACUAGGCCCAAAAGGCCACCCCCACCCCCCAAUAUAGACAGACACUUGGGAUCAGCUCUGACGGACCCAUCACUGAUUCACUCGUAGAGGUAUCAGAAGAGUUGUCAGAAGGGUCCUGUAUGAUCGCUACGCGAGAUAACAAAUCUGAAGGAAAAAAAUAAAGUCCUUCAGUUAAAAAAAAGUUUGUUUAUUCUCCUUUGUAAAAAGUAUUAGGGGCUUAAAAAAAAAUAUUGGUUUCUUUGCCUUCCACCUUGUUUUUGUAAAUCACUCGGGAAGCUCUUUGAACAGAAGUAUCUUCAAUAUUUUUUUAAAAAAAACCUUCGAAAGAGGUCCAGUGCUCAUUGAACCAGACUGGAAUUAUGGGCUGGGGGGGGGGAGGCUUGUACAUUUAUACAUAUCUCCUGCAAAAGGAGGAACAUGAACUACACCCCCAGACGGUUAAUGUACUUUGACAUCAGGUAGAAAACGGCUAUUUGAUAUGCAUGUAGGCUGCACCCACAAGGUAUUAGUGGUAUACCAGCAAUUACUAACAGUUUGCAAAGUGUUCUACACCUGCAAUAUUCUGAAUAUUAUUUUUGUUUCCAAAUGCUUUCAUUUCUGCAGCAGGCUUUAUAGAUAAUGAAAUCUACUACAGGAGAGGGAUUGUGAAGCAUGCCAUCUCUUUAACAUGAUGCACAGGUUAAUAUAUGCAGGCUGAAUCUAAAACCGGGAGGACGGCAGCAGAGGUUCGGCAGAGAGCUUUAUCCCACAUUUCCAUACGUAGAAAGCAGGAUGCAUUCUGGAACCAUAAUAAUUGCUCACAAUGGGGUGCAGGGGGUAUGAGGUGGUUAAGGCACAGCAGGUGGGCAGCUAACGCAGGCUCCACUUCUGGGAGCAUAGCUAGCGUGCAGCUUAUUAAAAAACAGCCUGAUGGGGUCAGUAGCCCAGUCUCAGAAUACCACCCAAGAACAAUUCAGUUUUAAUAGCUUUUACUAUGUAUUUCAUAAGCAUGCCCAUUGAAAUUGAGUCAUCAAAGCCUCCCGGUUCCUCCAAGACAGAUUUUAGCCCGAGAGCUUGGAGUAAUUAUCCCACUGGAUGUAAGCCUGUGUAGCUAUUUCAACCUCGUUCAUCAUUUCAAACAGCUACAUACUCUGCCUGCUAAUUUCAUCAGAUGGAUUAGCCUCUCUUACUUGUCUAUCUUUUUUUUUUAUUUCUGGGGGGUGAAAUAUUGCCUUUUCCCCGUUUUAAUAAGCUGAGCAGGCAUGCACCGCUGCACCGCUUCUGACUCCUAUUUCUUUCAGCUCAGGGAAUGAUCUACUGAGGGAAGAUAUGAGAGUAAAUGUGAAGGUGAAAAACUUGACCACUCUUACCUGCAGGCUCAAACCAGCUGUUUCAAGCUGUCUAAAAAAAACCACAACCCAAUAACAACACAUUGGUUCAUCUUUUCUCAUCUGUUCCACAUAUAUACAAAAUGGUUGGCUUUCAAAUUGUUUUUGCUCUUACUUUUUUUUUUUUAGUUUCUCUUACAGGAGACAGAUAAUCACACUGCAGGAAGCUGAAGUUGAUAACGUAGGGUUGCAACUCAAGCAGCAGUGCAAUGCUUAGCUACUCAGAAAUAAGUUCCACUAAAGUGCAGAAGGCUUAUGCUCAGGUAGGAAGGGGGGGGGCGGGCGGGAGAGAAACUGACAUUUUAAACUCAAUCCAAAACAAUAUUAGAACCAAAAUACAGCCAGCCUUUGAAAUUUGCACUUCUCCUAGUUUUCUGAUGCUGUUCUCUAACCAAAAAGUCUUUAUGCAUAUAUAUGGGGAAAGUGCACAAAUAUGAAAAUUUUGUUGGAAAUGACAUGUAUUAAGGGAAAUUGAUUGAAAGAAUGUGUAUGUUAUUAAAAUCUGCAUAUAAAAAUGUGUUUACAGUGGUACCUCGGGUUAAUUACUUAAUUCGUUCCGGAGGUCCGUUUUUAACCUGAAACUGUUCUUAACCUGAAGCACCACUUUAGCUAAUGGGGCCUCCUGCUGCCGCCGUGCCACCGGAGCACGAUUUCUGUUCUCAUCCUGAAGCAAAGUUCUUAACCCGAGGUAAUAUUUCUGGGUUAGCGGAGUCUGUAACCUGAAGCGUAUGUAACCUGAAGCGUAUGUAACCCGAGGUACCACUGUAUUAGGAUAAGUUUGCACCAAAAUUUUCAUGAUAUAUUUUUUUAAAAAAGCAAACUGAUGCAGAAAUGUGGAGAAUUGAAUUUAUGACCGGACAAAUGAGAAACUGAAAGAACUGAAAGGGACAGAUACUUCCAUCUUUACUCCCAGGUAACUGGGUAUAUCCAGAACAAACUUAGUUGGUCUCUAAGGUGCUACUGGACAUUUUUUUUUUUUUAGUGUAAAAAAAAAUGUUAAGUAAUUAAUCAAGCUUUGGUUGGUUGAUCUGUUGGUUGAAUUGUCUGUGCUAUGGCAAUGUUAACCCCGGUGUACCAGCUUCCCAGCACUGCAAGGCAAUAGGUUCAUCCUAUUUGAGUCAGUGCUUCUUGAAUCCUGGGGAGUACAAAUGAAAAUGGUUGGCACGGUGAAUUUUGUGUCAGUUCAGCAGAUUGGACUUGAUUAUCUUCACAUUGCUUUGAGACUUAAGAGUCCGUGCCUCUAAUUAUGGGUUCCAAAAUUUAUGAAUGGCAGGCAUGUAUCUUUAAAGCAGAGCAGGUUCUGCUCUGUAGGGAGCCAUCUCAGAGCCACCAAGAGCAGAAGAUGACGGCAAACUAGAGUUGAAACUUUCAGAUAAAUAGUUGGAAGUUCCAUUGCUAUUGCUGCCUUGUGAAUCCAUAUAAGUGUUUGACUUAAUACUAAUGAUCUUGAUACUGGUACUGAACCAUAACUAAUGUUACAAAUUUGCAAAAAUUAAAAGAACAUCACCUAAAAUAUCAAUGAGUCCUAAGAUCAAGGUCGUUGCAAAUGAUAUGGAUCUUGUCUAACUACUUGGAUAAUUUAGGUAUAAUUGAAGGAUCUCUUUCCAGCAUUUCACCACUUCCUAACACUGGUUUUUGCCUUCCUGCUGGUACAGGCUACAGUUCAGUUUAUUACUAAAAAGGACUUUGAUUUUAGUAUAUUAACAAUCAGACAGCAUCCCUUCCCACAAAAUUUGUUAUUUCUUUCUUGCCCAUGAGUAAAUAAAGUGUGUUUCCUCUCCCCACCUGAUGACCACAAUUUACACUAUUAUUUACACUUUUGUGUAUUCAAUGAUUUGCACUAUUCAUGCUCCCUCCGUGGGCCAGAAGCACAAUUCAUGUCAACAAGGAAUCAGGUUUACAAUCAAUCCCUCUUCACAAGGAACUCUGAGAAUUGUAGCUCUGUGAGAGGAAUAGGAACCUCCUAACUCUCUGCACUCUUAAGGAACAACAGCUGCAUCUCGGAGGUUGCCUCCAUGCCCCAACCUCCCCAAAAAAUCAAAAAGCUGUGCAGAAGCUCCACACCCAACACCCACAGAACUUGGACUUCUGCCUACCUUGACUUGAGAAAGGAAAUCCAUGCUUUAUCAUACUGGACUAUGUACAUUGUAACAUAGGAAGUCGCAGUGUGCACCAGCCCCAAGAUUUGAUUCACUUCAGGAAGUGGUACAAUCUGUUCUGAGUCACUCCAUAGUCUGUCCGAUUCAAUUCAUGCUUCAGGUUCAAAGCAGCUUCAUUAAAAACAAAGCUCCAUUUCCCAUAUUUCGCUAUUAUGGAGAAUCAAAAUAUGGCUAUAACUUUUUCCCUUCUUGAAAGAAAUGGAUGAAAUGUACAGCCUAGCAGCCUCUCCAGAGUGGAUUAAGCCCACCAAAUUGCAAGCAAAUACCUCCAGGGUUUGGGGGUCUGGACUCUUUGAUUUAUUUAUUUUAUAUCCUUCUUGUUUUAUUUUGGGAGAGCUGGAUGGAAUUUGUAGCCAUGGUUGCCCCUUUGGAGUGCACAAACCCUACCAAAUCGCAGAAGAAUAGCUGCUUUUCCUGCAAUGACACCUAUGACAGUUUGAAGUGUGCCUCACUUACCUGUGUUUUGUGGGCAAGUCCUCUGCAAUUGCAGGCAUGAGAAAGGUGCUCUUCAGUAGCAUACCUGGCGUAUUGCAGAAAUGUAAGCCCAGGAUUAGCUUUUGUGCUGUAUGCAUUUAAGGUUGAAUGGGGUGAAAUAAGCAGGAUUCACUUUCCUCCAUGUGCUUCUGUUUAUUGAACCAUUGCGAUUGGAGAGCCAUGGAAGGAAUUUCCUCUAUUUGAAAAUGAGACGUGUUGCUCAUAAAGGAGUUCUCUUGCCCCUCUCCCUCUGAACUCCUGCCCAUGUUUCCCUUAUGCUUUAUUAAUGUUGCUUCUGGUAGGAAGCUCCAAUCCAUAGUUUUUCUCUGGCAAGACACACUAUCAUGUGCACUUUAUUCAGGGUUGUUGUUGUUGUUGUUUAGUCGUUUAGUCGUGUCCGACUCUUUGUGACCUUAUGGACCAGAGCACACCAGGCACUCCUAUCUUCCACUGCCUCCCACAGUUUGGUCAAACUCAUGCUGGUAGCUUCGAGAUCACAAAAUGUCAUGAGGCACUCUUUGGUCCAUGAUCUGCAAUGCCUAGUGGAACCUGUGCUUUAUACUAUCAAUGCCGCAAAUCACCCACAGAUCAUCUGAUACCCUCCAACAUUUAUCCAAUGAAAAUAGGGAUGUCCUAAGGAAAAGUGAAGGGACGCGGGUGGCGCUGUGGUUUAAACCACAGAGCCUAUGGCUUGCCAAUCGGAAGGUCGGCAGUUUGAAUCCCUGUGACGGGAUGAGCUCCCAUUGUUUGGUCCCUGCUCCUGCCCACCUAGCAGUUUGAAAGCACAAAGUGCAAGUAGAUAAAUAAGUACAGCUCCAGUGAGAAGGUAAACGGCAUUUCCGUGUGCUGCUCUGGUUCACCAGAAGCGACUUAGUCAUGCUGGCCGCAUGACCUGGAAGUUGUCUGUGGGCAAACGCUGGCUCCCUUGGCCAGUAAAGUGAGAUGAGCACUGCAACCCCACAGUCGUCCUAACGGCCAAGGGUCCCUUUACCUUUAAGGAAAAGUGGUACAUUCUGGGAUCAAAUCAGAAACCAGGAUCCAGAACAGUCCCUGGAAAAUAUGGACACUUGGGGGGUUUGUCAUUCUCAGUUUUCCUCUUGCCUUGGACUUUGCACAGAUCAGUUGCAUCAUGACUAACAGGAAGCUGCUCUGUACCAACUCACACUAUUUGGCCAUUUAUCCUCUCCAGUGUCUCAGGCAGAAGUACUUCCCAUCACCUGCUUCCAUGAUAAUUUUUACUGGCGAUGCCAGGGACUGAACCUGCUGUCUUCUUCAUUUAAAGCAUGUGCUCUGACACUGGGCUAUGGCCUUUUCCCAUGAGAGCUCCCACAUGCUCUGUGCCUGGGGUGGACUGGGACUAGUGCACUUACUUGGCUCCUGGUCUGCUUGGGCAUCCAGGGGCUGGAUUGUGCUUCUUAUUGAUUGGUUCGUCUUAAUUGCAGGUGGCUAAGAGAACUGAUGCAAGAUGAAAGGGAAAGCAUGACUUCACAAUGCCUCCGAGUGACAUAAACCUUACAAACAGAAUAGCCAAGUUUACAGUAAGCAAGAAAGAUGGCUAGGGUUAACUCAAUAUAAUAGAGUGGGCUUUCAAUCAGAGUUAAAAUAUGUCUUUUAAAUGCAAAUAAAGAAAAAUGAUGGGCAUUCACGUGAUUGACAGCCUCUCCAAAUAGAAGUGUUGCUAUAAUUAAGCAAUAAUGUAUGAGUGAGUGUACAUUAUGACAAAUUGGAAGUUCGGCUGAUUAGAUUGAGCAUAUAAACUGUCAGUAUAAUUAUCACAUUUUAAUCAUUUUUCUCCAUUUUUUUAUAACAGCAUUGUCUUCAGACUCAUUUGGUGCUUAUUAGAUUGAUAUUCUAAGAGGAACCGUACAACAUAAAACAUGUCCUUUAACAGGAUGAACUUUAGAUAAGACUUCAGGUAUGUCUAUAAACAUUUAUAAUGGUGGCUGUUGUGCCUUCACAUCCUUUUUCAUCCCGUGUGCCAUUUAAUGCCAGGCGCGUGUCCCUUUGAUCAUGAUAGAAUAUGCUCAGCUUAAAAUUCCAUCGUGAAAUACGGCACUGGCCUACAAUGAAAUGCAAAGCAUGGAAGCAGUGUACACAUGAGACAGCCUUGGCCAACCUGGUGCCCUCUAGAUGUUUUGUAGUGCAGCUCCCAUAACCCCCAGCUGGCAUGUCUUGGAUCUAAAGAGCACCAUAUGGUUGAAAGGGCUGUAUGUGUUUAGCCUGGAGAGGAGAAGAUUAAGCAAAGCAAUGAUCAUGGUCUUCAGCUACAAUGGUCUGUUUAAUGUCUCUAAGAAGCCAUGAGGUACAGUCAUUUGAAGUGUUGGGGUACACUGAUGACACACAGCACUAUUCUAUUGAGUCAGAAGAGGCUGUGUAUUGUCUGGACUGUUGCUUGGGCAUAUAGCUUUCAACUUUCAGAUUUGAAAAUAAGGGAUCAGCAGCCUCACCUGUCCCAGGCACUGCUGUCUUCCACUGCCUCCUGUAGUUUGGUCAAACUCAUGCUGGUAGCUUCGAGAACACUGUCCAACCAUCUCGUCCUCAUGGUUCAAUGUUACUAGUGAGCAAAGUUACCCAGUCAGGAUUUGAAUCUUGGUCCUAACUUUUGGGGUUAAGUUAAUUUUUAGCUGUCCAUUAAUACUGACAAACCGUAUCUCCCAUUCAUCUCUCAGAUCCCCUUGUAAAUCUAAAGUACUGACCUCACCACAUCCUGCAGUAAAAACAUUCCCCAAGUUAACUACACAUUGUGUGAAGGUAAGUGUGUGAAGCUACAGCAUUCCUACUAUCAGCUUAAGUGACACAUUCACUCUCUCUCUCUCUCUCUCUCUCUCACACACACACACACACACACACACACAGAGUAGAUCCCCUCCAAGCCAAAGGCCCAAAGGCAGAAAGCCCAGCCAGCAGCCAAACGAAGCCUCAAGCGGUGGUUCCCACAGUGCAGCAACCCGGCAAAGGGAUACAGCAGCAAGGAAAACCACACCAUCACCUCUCCGCUGGGAAGCGCUGAAGCAAAGGCGAGGCCCCAGGCAACGCGGCCGAUUUGAUCAGCACAAGGCAUGCAAGCUCCACCCCCCAGUCCUUCUCAGACUCCUUAUUGGUGAGCAACGCAGCCGAGCAACGCAGUUGAGGAGCCUCCCUGGCCAGCAGGGAGGGAGAGGAGCUGCUUCCUUUGAAAUCUGGGAAAUUUACGGGAUAUCAACAAUCCGGGAUAGCAGCAGGAAAUGGCGCUGGAAUAAGGGAUUUUCCCACCAAAUAAGGGAAGGUUGACAGCUAUGCUUGGGCACAGUGGUGAAGUGGAUGCUAAUAAGCAGAGCUUGAACCCAGGGAAGAUGGAAGAGGUUCUCAUGUCUAGGAGUAUUGCUAGUUGUCCCUCUUCUGAAUGGGGCUGUAUUCCCUUUGAAAGAACAGGUUUGGAGUUUGCGUGUGCUCCUGGAUCCAUCUAUUCACCGCUGGAGCCUCAGGUUACCUGAUGUCAUGGACUGGCUAGAUACAGGGGAGUAGUGGGGAGUAGGGGAAAAAGGCUUCUGCUUCUGCCACUGCUUCUGGACAUGUCUUUGCCACAGACUCUCCUGUUCACUAUACCCUGUUAUAUCUUCAGCUUCCAACACCUCCUCUUCCCAGUCUUCUCCCUCUUCUCCCACUCAUCACUGCCCUACCACCACUCCCUGGGCUUUGAGCCUUCUUCCCUUAGGAGUUCCCUAGCUGGUGCCUCCCACAAUUUCUCUGCAUCCAACCAGCCCAUGAUACUGGUUUCAGCUUCCUCCUUAUUAAUCCCUAUAGAAAACAAGGAGCAGGAAGGGGGGAAACUAGAAUUAGAUGGCUUCGUCUGUCAUUGGCUAUGGCUCCACCUGCUGUUGACCUUCCUACCUUCUGCCAUUACCAGUCUCAAUGGGUAGUAGUAGUACAUCAUUCAGAAGGCAAGGUUCACUGUGGAUGUCCAUUACAACACACUGUCCAAACUAAAUAUUUUUGGGGAGAAAGGGAAAUGCUAUUUGUGCCUCUCACCCCUUCAAAAGAUGGUUACUCUGUGUGAUAUAAGAACCAAGAAAGGUGGACAACAAGAGAGCUGGUUUGGGUGGGAAGAGGACCAGUGAGUUGAAGCCCAUGAUCUAUAUAGCUUUGAUUCAGAGAAGAACAUGGCGGACACGUGUCUUUGAUUAAUAACUCUCUUAUUUCACAGUAGGUGCUACUUCUGCAGUUCUUUCCCCUUCUGGUAUAGAAAUGGGGGGGGGAGAUUUCCAUGUGGAAUGAGCAGAUCUUCCCUCUGCUCUGGAUUGGGGUGGUAAGCAUGGGAGAUCAGUUCUGCUUAUUUUCAUAGAACUGAGUGGCAUUCGCCAAAUGGAACGAAACAAGGAACAAGUUCCAGAGCAGUUCUUCAAAGUAACUUCCCACGCACGUGUACAAUAUUACUCUACAGAUUUGCUAUUGAAAUGAAAUACUGCAGUGACCUUUUUAAUUCCCCUGAUUUUUUAUAAUCUUUGAAAUUUAGCACAACAGCAGGAGUUUAAUCAUAUUCACUGAUAUAAAAGCCAAAAUAAGGCACCUCUACAUUCAAUUAGAGAUAUGACCUCCAAGGUGCCAGACUCUUCAGAGAUUCUGUGAAUGUCUCCAAGGACAAUUACAUCAAUGAGGCAUGGGGUUUCCUCCUCUCAUUUCCUUCAUCGCAACACAAUCCUAUGCAUGUUUACAUAAAAGGAGGUCCUGCUCAGUUUAGUAAGGCCCACUCCCAAGCAAAUGGGCAUAAAAUGGCAGAUUUAGAACCAAACUACAUGUUGUGUUACUAGUGUGUUUUAUUAGUGUGCACAUUAAUUAAAACCACCAAACCCCCCAAAUAAGGGCUGCAGGAUAGGACUAAUCCUUCCUCCUCUCCAAUUGUUGCUAAAAAUCCCCCAAGCUGCUACCCCCCCACCCCCUCGCUUGCAGAGGUGUGCCUGCAAAAGGGUUCUUGGUAUUAUUACUAUCAUGAUUUAUUAAUGAUAUCAUAUAAUUUACUUGAUAUACCACUAAUGCCAAAAAUUGCAUUCUAAGUGGUUUACAAAUAUAAAAACCAGUUAUAGAAGCAUUAAUAUAUCAGCAUCCAUAACUAAAAUAUGCAAUAAAGCAAACCCAUUUCUUAUAGCCUGCUAGUAAAUUUGGCACAAAAAUAUUGGCACGGUUGUUAUACUGUAUAACAAAAUUUUAAAGUUUGGAAAUGAGGUCGCUGUGAUGAUGAUGAUGGUGGUUAAAUCCACAUAGCUGUGUAUGAAUCUAUCUCCAUUUUACUUUCACAUGUGUGUGUGCCCAUGAUUUUUGUAAACCACUUUGAGGUUUUUCAAGUGGUAUCUAAAUUUUAAGAAGUAAAUAAUAAUUUAUAAGACAUGAUUUAAUUCUGAUGUUUUCCGACGGUGUAAAUUUAAAAGUAAAACAUUUACCAGGAUCCAUAUUUCCCCACUAGAGUUCAUUCUUAUUUUUCCAUGUUGGAAGAGUCACAAAAGAUAAAGCUUUGCACACAGUUUUGUUCUGUAUGCUGUUGUUUUCAAUCAGCCUGAAAGGCCGAGGUUAUCCUGCACCAGGCUUCCUCAACCUCGGCCCUCCAGAUGUUUGGAGACUACAAUUCCCAUCAUCCCUGACCACUGGUCCUACUAGCUAGGGAUUGUGGGAGUUGUAGGCCAAAAACAUCUGGAGGGCCAAGGUUGAGGAAGCCUGUCCUGCAUUAUGGUGCUCCAGUAUGUAAUGUAUCAAGAAUUACAUAUGGCUUUUGCAUGAAUCUUGGUGCCUCAGUAUUGAAAAAGCUUGUCACCUAUACAAAAGUGUGAGAUAGAUUCAUUUAAAAACAAAAAAAAAGGUGAGGGGGGAAACAAGUUUGAAAAGAGACAACAAAAGGAUUCAGGGAUGCAAGCAAGAAACAUGCAAGUAGAGUUUUUUAGUCUCACAACAACCCUGAGAAGUAGACUGAAUAGAAAGCUAGAGACUCAGAAUCAAAGAACUAAAGAAUUGGAAGGGACUCUGAGGGCCAUCUAGACCCACCUCCUAUGAUGCAGGAAUCACAGCUAAAGCAUCCAUGACAAAUGGUCACCCAACCUCUGCUUAAAAACUACCACGUUCCAAAGGAGUUCGUUCCACUGUUGAACAGCUUUUACUGUCAGAAAGUUAUUUCUAAAGUUUAGUCGGAAUCUCUCUCAAGAACAGGAGAAAACAAGCUUGCUCCAUCUUCCAUGUGACAGCUCUUUAGAUAUUUGAAGAUAGCUAUUCUAUCUCUUCUCAGGCUUCCUCAACUGUUCCUCAUAAGGCUUGAUUUCCAGACCACUGGUUGCACGCCUCUGCAUACAUUCCAGCUUGUCCAUAUGCUUCUUAAAUUGCGGUGUUCAGAACUAGACACAGGACUCCAGACCAAGGCAGAAUACAGCAGUACUAUUACUUCCCUUGAUCAGGACGCUAUACUUCUGUUGAUGUAGCCUGGAAUAGCAUUAGCUUUUUUGGCUGCUGCAUCACGCUGUUGUCUCAUGUUGGGGUUGUGUUCUACUAAGACCCCUAGAUCUUUUUCACAUGUACUACUAGUAAACCAGGUAUCCUCGAUCUUAUAUUUAUGCAGCUUGUUAUUCCUGCCUAAGUGUAGAACCUUACAUUUGUCCCCAUUGACCUUACAUUUGUCCCUCAUUUUGCUAGUUUGGGCCCAGUUCUCUAAUCUGUUAAAGUCCCAAUUCUGUUUUCUGCUGUGUUAGCUACCCCUCCCAGUUUGGCGCCAUCUGCAAAUUGGAUGAGCAUCCCCUCAAUUCCUUCAUCCAAGUCAUCCAGGACGGAACCCUGUGAUACCCCACUUGUCACUUUUUUCCAGGAUGCUGAGGAACCAUUAGUGAGCACUCUUUGUGUUCAGUCAGUCAACCAGCUACAAAUCUAUCUAACAGCAACCUUGUCCAGCCCACAUCUUACCAGCUUUUCCACAAGAAUAUCAUGGGGGAGUUUGUUAAAAAACCUUACUGAAAUCAAAAUAUACUAUGUCCAAAGCAUUCCCCUGAUCCACCAAGCUUGUAAAUCUAUUUUCUAAAAAAGAAAUGAAAUUUGUCUGGCAUGAAUUGUUUUUGAGAAACCCAUGCUGAGCCUUAGAAAUUACAGCAUCCUUUUCUAAGUGCUCACUUGCCUCAGAUUACCCAGAAAGAGUCAUAGCAAAGAAAGGACUUGAACUCAGAUUUCUGACUUUCAAAUCUGACAUCUUUGCUGUUGUGCUUACUGUAUCCCAUUCAUUAGGAGAACUGCAAGGUCAGAAAAUGAGCAUUUAGUGUGGAGCCCCUUAGUUUUUAAAACAACUUUAAUUACUUGUUUUGUAGGUGUGCUCGUUCUGUUGGUGCAUAUGUUGAGAUGUGUGCAAGCAUUCAUAUACUGAACUGCAUGCAUAUGUCCAGCCAUUGCCCAUAGAAGUGAAGAUAUCAGUAGAGUGUCUUGUUCUUCCAUACAAUUUAACAAUAAAAACAUUCAGAGCCAAUUGGAUUUUUCAUCAAUCACCCUGAUCACAGUGGCUGUAUCAGCAAAGGGUUUAAGAGGGAUGAUCCGUUAUGUCACUUGAGGCACGGGACAAAAACAUCACUUUCAAAACAUUAAUGCCACAACAAAGCCCCUCUUUUUUUUUGUCAACCUGGCAUCAGUCAAAAGGCUUAUGAUGCAAUUCCUGCCAAACAGGGUGAGCAGAAAUGCUUGACAAGUCUCUUACACGGCUUGGCGAAAUAUCCUCUUCAUUUCAUGCCAGACAUAAGUGGCAAACAUUUUGGUCUUUACUCUGUAUCAAUCAGGGUGUAUAACAUUUUGCAUUUGCAAAGUCAAAGUGGAGAUUUUGAAAGUUGGAAGGGUGGAUGUUAAUUUCCGCAAUCUCUAGAUCCCCAGCUUUCAGUUUGAAAUUUUGUAAUGAUCGGCCACAUAAACCAUGGUUGUGCAUGGUUUAUCUGCCUUGACAAAAAGUGGCUCAACAGUCCUUAAACCCGUUUAAGUCUGGCUACAGUUCAGGAUGCUGUCAUGCUGUUCAGUCAUGCUGGCCACAUGACCCGGAAGCUGUACGCCGGCUCCCUCGGCCAAUAAAGCGAGAUGAGCGCCGCAAGCCCAGAGUCAGCCAUGACUGGACCUAAUGGUCAGGGGUCCCUUUACCUUUACAGUUCAGGAUGCAAACCCACAGCUUGAAGGAUAUAAUUAUUAUGCCUAUAUUGACAUAAUACUUAACCUGCUGGCAUCCAUCUGUCUUGAGAGACAGUGGAAUGCACCUCCGGGGGUGAAGUCAAACCAUUGUGUUGGCACCUAAGUGACCUCCCUGGAGCACAAGCUUGGGCAGUAUGCGUGGAGGUCCUGGGCUGCCCAGACAACAAGACUCCCCUCUCGACCUCGCUGAUGCAGUCCAAAGGAAAGCAGAGCAGUAUGUUCGGCACCAGCCUGGCUGCAGGAGUUGCCAAAAGGAGGCACAUUACCCUUCCUCUAACACCCCAUACACCCCAAUAAUAUUUAACCAUGGUUAACGCAACCCCCGUUUUUCUAAUGUUGUAUUUUAAAAGACUGUAAGCAGCAGAUCUCACUGGUGUGUCCCUAUACAUAUUCUCUAGGGAUAAUUGAGCAAGAUGCACCAUGAUUUCAUUGUGCUAUUUGGAUCUUUACCAGAGUUAAAGCAAACAUGGUUAGCAUUUUGCAGGACGUCUCCAUUUUACCAAAGACUUCUCAAGAAGCAAAAAAAGAGAAGUAUUUGCCACAAAUUCCCUGCUCAAUACAGUAUACCACUUUCCCUUCCAAUAAAUCCAGGAGAGUCCAUGCUACCAACUUGCAAAGGAUUCAUGGUCAGUCAAACACUCCGUGACACACCUUUUGAUAGAUAGAUGCUGUGAUAAUCUCAUCUUCCAUGCUAUAGUACUUAUGUUUACCAUUAAGUCAUUUGCCCAUACUUAUAUCUUCUUGACAUGUUUUGGUAGGCUGCAAACUAUUAGAAAAAUACAUCAGAGUGGCAAUAGCUUCUGAGGGGCUGAACAUUCACACAGGGACCUUUAACAAGCAGUUUGUGGCCAUUCAUUACAAAAUUUACUGCAAGAUACUUUAUGUGCUUCUGUAUCCCACACAUAAAGAACUGUGCAGUAGUUUCAAUAAAAUUUGUGUGAGAUACUUUAUGGGACUUAAUCUUGGCAAUGUGGUGCCAUCAGGAAGACCUAGUAUCUGUGUAUUAGACUUCAAUUUGGAAGAUUUUCCUAGUAAAUGGCUAAAUCAUUAUUCAGUUGAAUGAUAACUUACUGUAAACAGUAUGUUGCUUCUGGAUAUAUCACUUUUGAUCAAUAGGUUUUCUGUCUGACUCUGCAUCUGUUAAUAUUGUAGAGUGGCUGGACUGAAUGCUUCAAACAGUCUAAGUGGAAGGAGAGAGUUCAUUAACAAAGAUUCACUUUUUAAAUAUAUCAUAGGAUUCACAUAUAAAGAUGCAAUAUUAAGGCUGCAAUCAUGUCACAUUAUAUACCAAGAUAAGAGUCGGCUAAUUAGUACAUGUAAACUCAAAGCAGAAACUUUGCUUUUGCUGCAAGAGACCUGGGCUUGUGAGGGCUUCUCCCUAUCAGGGUAUAAGGGCUUCUACCUGAAUGCAUAUCAGAAUUUACUAUCUCCUGGCAGACCACAAGGUGGGUUGGCUACCCUAGUUUCUUUGGCCUUAAACCUGCAGGUGGAACAAAUCGACAUCCAGUCGUCAUCCAUGCUGGGUGUUAAGCUACAAACAGCGGAGGAAGUGUUUGUGGUGAUUAAUGUUUAUUUGCACCCAAUCUAUAAGAAAAACCUGGUGGUCCAAAGAUGGAGGGAAAUUCAACAGACUCUUGAAACUCUCCUAGAGAAAUAUCCUGAAGCCACCUUCCUAGUUGCAGGAGAUUUCAAUGGCCGAUUGUCUCACUCUGAUAAAUCAUUAUUUGCUAAAUAUAAUAAAUAUCCCUCACUACCCAUUUUAACCUCAGACCUUUUACCCAGGAAUUUUAAAGACAGUGUUGCUACAUAUGCAGGUUUUAAAUGUAGACAAACUUUGAUGGCUCUUAAUUUUCACCUUUUAAACGGAGCUCUCAGUUCUGAUUACCCUGCCGAAUUUACUUUCUGGUCAGGCUCCCGAGCCUCUACCAUAGACUUUAUUUGGACAUCAGCAGACCUAAUUCCCAAAAUUUCCAACUUUAGGGUGGUAACGAGGCUGGAAAGUGACCAUUUUCCAUUAGAACUUUCGCUGACCCUGGAUGGAGAAUUGGCUACCUACUCCUGCGUGCCUAUUACAAAUAACCAGCUUCAGAUGAGGCCCACUGCCUUAAAAUGGACCGACAAUAUGGCUCAACGGAUAAAUGAACUCCUUUGGUCUGACCAACUGCAAGAGACAAGGGACUCCCUUAUCCAGGCAGUUGAGCCACUGCCAAUAUAUGACAAUUUAGUAGAACUGCUAAAACCUUCGUUGGCUAAGACCCCGGUAAUGAAUAGUAACCAUUUCUCUCAUAAAAAGUGGUUUGAUGAGGAAUGCAGGCACUUCAAGAACAACCUAUAUAAUGAAUUCUUGGCAUAUAGGGCAUCAAAUGACUCCGCACCUAGCAGUCACCUUAUGAUCCUCAAGAGAAGGUAUAAAGCACUAUUAAAGGAAAAGAAGCGUGCGGCAGAAAGAAAUGAUUGGAAGAACCUUCUAAAAGCUGCAGAAAAUAGAAAUCCCUCCUCCUUUUGGCACCAAAUUUCCAGAUACCUGGGUAGACCGUUGUCAAGGAUAGAACCCCAAAUUUCAGCUGACACCUGGGAAAGCUUCUUCUCCGUUUUAUAUGCAGCUCACGCAGCUAGCGGAGGAAGGUUAGAUUUGGCCCCCUUGCCAGAGUGGGAUCCUGUUACCUGCUCUGAAGUGGAAACACUUAUAGGCCAAUUUGAGGCGGGCAAGGCACCCGGAGACGAUCUUAUUUCCAUAGAUCUUAUCAAAGCCAAUAAGGAUUGGUGGUGUCCACCCCUAGCAGCUCUUUUUACUUAUAUAAACAAAACAGCACAAUUUCCUCCAAGCUGGAACUCUGCACUGAUUGUGUUAAUUCACAAGAAAGGGCCGCGCACAGACCCGGCCAAUUUUAGACCAAUUAGCCUGCUAAAUGUUAUCGGGAAGAUCUAUUCAAGAUUUCUACUUAACAAAUUAACGACCUGGAUGGAAAGCAACAAUAUCAUCGCAGAGGAACAGGCGGGUUUCCGCCCGGAAGAUCAACAACAGACCAAAUCUUAAUCCUAAAUCACUUGGCCACUAAGUACGCUGGCAAUGGCCUAAAAGCCCUCCACGUCGCCUUUAUAGACUUUAAGCAGGCCUUUGAUCUAAUUCCCAGGAACCAGCUAUGGACAAAAUUGGCAGCGACAUCUAUCGACCGCCGCCUUCUCUUGCUGAUUAUUAAUUUGCAUACAAAUACCCUCUUGAGGAUUAGGAUAGAUAGUAAGGGGCUAGUCUCCAAUCCGGUUGCCACCACUAGGGGGGUAAGACAGGGCUGUUUGCUUGCCCCUGCUCUGUUUAACUUCUAUAUAAAUUCGCUAGUGGUGCAUAUGGCAAAUGCUGAUUUCCAUCCACCAAAACUGGCAGGACGAGCCUUGAAUGUCCUACUGUAUGCGGACGAUGCCGCCCUAUUAGCUACCUCCCCAUCGGAUUAAGGAGGAUGCUUCGAGCUCUUCAUGAAUAUGAGACCCAACACGAGCUCCAAUUAAAUUAUGCCAAGACCAAAAUAAUGGUCUUUGCUGCUCGACCGAAACCUAAUUUAUGGUCAAUUAAUGGUAUUCCUUUAGAGCAGGUCAGUUGCUUCAAGUACCUGGGUCAGGUUGUAAGAUCAAAUAGGUCCUUCCUGGCGCACAGAGAAUACAUAGCCUCGAACGCAUCCAAAGCAGCCCUGAUGAUUAGAACCCUGUACUCCAAGAAACAGGCACAAACUGUCAAUGUUGCCUUACGUCUCUUUAAAAUGAAAGUCCUCCCUCUUCUGCUGGUGGGCAUUGCCUUGGGCUCACGUAGGGAUUUUGAAAAAUUGGAAUCUAUCCAAACCCAAUUCCUCAGGGCCAUACUCAGGAUCCCCCUCUGUGGCAGGUGCGAUCAUGAGGCUGGAAACCGGUUGUCAAGCCUUUAGGUAUGUGGCCCUGAAAGCGAAGUUAUGGCUAUGGCUCAAGCUCUGUUUCAGACCGGUGGGUUUGGCCCCCUUGAUUCUGAGGGAUAACUUUAAAUCUCCAUGGGAAGGGGAGAUAGUGGAGGAAGUGCAGAAGUGUGGGUUGUCCUCCCUUUAUAUAGAGUCCAUGACGUAUAGCCACGCAAAGGCGGUGAUCGCGCAAAGAUUAAGGGAUAUUGCCAGACAGGAGGACAUAGCCCGUGUGAAACCUGGGUUGUUUCUGGGGGAGCAGUUGUAUCGGGCUGCCCCAGCUCGCUACCUGGCGGAUAUCCACUACGUGGAAUACCGCAGACUAUUUACUGCGGCUAGGCUGAAUGUUCUUGACUCGGCGGUCCUGAAGGGAAGAUAUGGAGGAGUCCCAUAUGACCAGAGAUUAUGCCACUGUGCAUUGGGUGAGGUAGAAUCCACAGAGCACAUUUUAUUGAGCUGUCCCUUCUACAACGAUUUAAGACAGUAUCUUAUAACUCCAUACUUACCCCAGCUCAGUUCCCGACAAAGAGGAAAGCAGACAGCAUAUCUGCUAAAUAAGUCUUCUGGGAAAACAACCUUGUCAGUGGCUAAAUUUCUUUUCCUGGCACUCAAGUGUCGGAAACGUAUAAUUGAAUGCUUUGACGUGGGUUAUCUGUGAGAGAUCUAGUACUGUGGCUCUACCUUACUUAUGUACCUUAUGUAACUUAUGAUGUUAUAGUUUAUAAUUAUUGUGUAAUGUUUUAAUUCUGACUAUCGGUCGAAUAAAGAAAUUGAUUGAUGAUUGAAAGCAGAAACUCUUUUUUUGGAGGAAACCAUUCUCCACCACCCUGAAAUCCAAAAUAUGCCAUUUUUUCACAUUUCACUUUUAUGUACCAGUGAUGCCCUCCAAAUUUCUGACAACAGCUGAUACAAUGCAGACAAGCAUGAUGCUGACUGGGCUGUUGAAAGUUGAAUCAGCACUUUUCAGUGGAUUUAAUAUAAAUUUUGAAGUCACAUUUCACAGAUUGAAUUCCACAGCCACGUUAUGUGAUGCCAGAUAUGAAUGGUAGAGAUGAAAGGGGAGAAAGAGAAAAUGCCAAAUCACAUUUGAAUUUAGACUUUAAAAAUCUAAAUUGUUUCUGUGGCAAUUGCACGGACUUUUCUGGCAAGAAGUAAAUGUGGCAGUAGGAAGUCAUGGAAAUUUUUCAUUGGCUGACUGACUGAUUUGAUUUCUAGGCUGUCUUUCAGUCCUGAAGGAUUGCUAAGACAGUGUCAGGGCCCAACUCUGAGCAAUAGCCUGGUUCUUGGAGAGCAACUCAGAUGAAGAGGAGCCAGUCAGGUCCAUCUGACAAGCAGCAACACAGGCAGAAAUGCUGGAAAACUACAUGGGCCCUGACUUUAUGAGGCCUGAGCCCAUUGGAUUAGAAGCCUCUGAAUCAGGGACUCCUGCAUCAGAAAUGCUGGAGUCUAAAUCCAGUCCUGUCCCCAAAGAACUGACCACAUAAGAACAUAAGAGUCUCCUAAAUCUGGUCCAGCAUCCUGUUUUCACAGUGGCCAGCCAGAUGCCUGUGGAAAGCCUGCAAGGAAGACACAAGCACAACAGCAUUCUGCUCAUGUAGCAACUGGUAUUCAGAGGCAUGCUGCCUCUCACUGUGGUGACAGAACAUAGCCAUCAUGGCUAGGGACCCACGCCAGGGACCCACAACCCCAGGUCAACCCAUUAAGACAGCAAUGAGCCUGGAGGGAAAAUGCAAAUGCCUUCUCUUUCUUUCUAAUCUGUAACCUAACCAAGCUACCCAUGGUUCAUUUGACUGACUUAGAGGCCAGACAAUGAAAGCCCCAUGCCUGAGAAACUGCUGCCAUCAGUAUUCACAUCAACAGACUUCAGCAUCACUCUUUGCACACUCCUCAAGUUACUGAGCCUAUAAGAGUUAUCUGCUUUAAAACAUUAUGGCCAAGUCUUCGAUGGAUGUUUCCUAGCCUCAAUUAUUUCAAUCCUUAUCACCUUGGCUUCCCUUCCUAUUUGCGAUCCCAGGUUCUGUCCCGAGUAUUUUUGAAGAGUCACUGGCAGCCAGUGCCCAUAAUACUGUGAUAAGCAGAUCCAUCACCUGCCUCAAAAAGACAACUUUUUAUGUUCCACCAUCUCCCAUCAUUGGCCUUUUCCUGGAUGUUUCUAUAUAAGCAUAGGCACCUUAUUAUUUAAGUGGUUGGAUGCCUGAUCCCCAAUAAUUCUUGAGGAACUGUUAGAGCCUCUUGUUCUGUCCAAGGCAGUGGUCUCAGCUCAGGGAUAAUGUGGUUCUAGCCCGGUAGGGGCUUAUGCUGAGCACAGAGGUCAGGGACACCAGAUCAUGUACCUCCAACACCAGUUUCAAAUCCCAGCCUAACUCAUAUUCUAGCAAGGCAAGCUCAAACAAAGCAGAGAACAAGUCCAGAUAAAGAAGGGCAGGGCAAAGCAGAGGUUCAAGAUCAAAAGGCAAAAAAUGUAAGGUGGGUGGAACCCUGGAUAGCUCCAAAAGAAGCCUAGGCUUAACAGAUGAAGAGAACUUUAAAAAUUGAACAAAUGAAUAACAAAAUCUGUCCAAGUGAAAUUCCCACAAAGGAAAUGUUCUUAUCUCUGUGUUAUUUGCCCACAAUAAGCAGACUCACAACUGAAUGUUGCAGUGUUUCCUCAGCCCCUAGAAACAAACCCUCUAAGGAGCUCCAACCAGCCUGGAACAGGAACCUAGCAGUGCAGAUGUGCACAGAUGUGGAGGCGGGAAAGGAAAAAGGACACCCCUUUUUCAUUUCUACCUUACUGAAACUACCCUGCACGGUGCUAUUAAGUGUUCAAGGGCUCAGUGUUUUAUUGCUGUAUCAUUUGGUAUCUGGAUAGUGGAGAAGUGGAAAUGUGCUUUUCCCCCUUCCCUGUCCCAAAGCUUUCGCAUAUAGCAUGGAGAAGAUCCACAGAUCCUCUUAACCCUAAGCUCCCUUCUAGGAUACCACAAGCAGUUAAGGGAUCAAACAAAGCAAGUCCUUCCAUCCCUCUCUGAAAUAUACUCGGAGUUCAGUGCUGAUUUCAUGCUCUUUAUUUCAGCUCAUGGUAAACAGUGAGUGAGUGCUUUCCCCCCAAACCUCUGGUUAUAUAUACAGUGGUACCUCGGGUUACAUACGCUUCAGGUUACAGACUCCACUAACCCAGAAAUAGUGCUUCAGGUUAAGAACUUUGCUUCGGGAUGAGAACAGAAAUCGUGCUCCGGCGGCACAGCAGCAGGAGGAGGCCUCAUUAGCUAAAGCGGUGCUUCAGGUUAAGAACAGUUUCAGGUUAAGUACGGACCUCCGGAACGAAUUAAGUACUUAACCCGAGGUACCACUGUACAUUAUUUACACAAUGGGUCCCAUGUGAUUGGCUGAUUCAACUCCCCUCCUGGAGCCUGAGUGGACUGUUCCUGCAGGCCAAUCAGGAUGCUGAUUCACUUCCUCCUGGAGGCGGAUUGGGCUGCUCCUGUAGGUCAAUCAGGUUGCUGAUUCACUUCCUCCUGGAGCCGGAUUGGGUGGCUCCUGCAGACCAAUCAGGUUGCUGCCUUCUAGGAUCCUACUUGCCUAUUGUUCUAGGAUCCAAGCUCAGUGCAUAACACUCUCCACAUUCCUUUAAUCUGCAAACUGAAGUCAUCAACAUUUCAUAGGUCCUGGGAGUCACUGAGCAUAGAAAGAAAUGUCUUUUGGAUUUUCAAAACUUUUAUUUCCUAUUACUGUAUGAACAGAAUACUUUAGGAUUCCUGGGUUGCUCCUUGGUUAUACAGAAACCUACCUGUUAUGUCUGGCUGGCCCCUUUUUCUUCCAAACUGAUGGUCGUGUGGCAUGAGGCCACCCAAGUUUGCUAAUAGAGGAAAGGAUGCCAGAGCUCCAUAUCUGAAUGUCUCAGAAAAGUAUGAAUAAUACGCACCAUAGAAUUAAAAAAAUAUCUAUUUAUCCUCUUUUAUUCAAUCUUUCUAUUCUGUUCCUCCCUGGAGAACUAUUUCAAAGGUUAUCAUGUUCAUGUAGAAUGGCACACACUGAGAAUAACCACUUUAUAACCCAUGGAUGGGUCAGUUUGUAGAUUAUUUUAGGUGUAUUGUUUGCAUAGCAUCAAGUAUAUGAAAGUAUCAGUUAUCCUAUCACAGCAAUGGAAGAAUGCAAGGAUUUUUAUUUCUAACCAAUAUCCCAAAAUAACCAUCCAAGAAGAAAGGGAAAGUCACGGCGCUGUAUAGUUUUUGCCACAGAAGUUGAAGGCAGUUGCUUAUAACUAGAGGCUGUAGAAAUCUGCAUGGCAAAACAGAGCUAGACACAGCACUGGAGAUACAGGGUGGGCGGGACAACCCCAGCUGAUGUCAAGUUUAUUUACAUAAUUUAUUCUAGUUGCAGAACUUGUGGGAAAGUGAUUAAAUUCAGCAUUCUAGAGACCCUUCCUUCCUUCCUUCCUCUCUGUUUGAUGUGGCAUAAAAACCCUCACUUGUCUUGCUUUCUCCCACAAAGAAAGGUACUUUGAGAUCAGAGGGGUAAAUUCAGAGAAAUGGCCAUAUGUUUUGGCACAUAGACAUUAAACCAAUAGCAAUCACCCUCAAUAGCUCAGUUGGUUACAGCGUGGUGCUGAUAACGCCAAGGUUUCAGGUUCCAACUCUAUGAUUCUAUUAUCAUUAGUAUUAUGACCACACAGAGAUGUUGCAAGAACUCCAAAUUCUCCACAGAAAAAAAUUGAGAGGCUUUGAAAGUUUGUUAGGAAAUGAAACUGUGAUUUCCCAUUUGCAAUAAAACCAAGAUUCGAAGCAGUCUUUAAACAUUCUUGCUGCCUUUCAGGAAAGGCUGUCAUUUCAUUUCCAAGCCACCAGAUGCCAGACGUCUACUGCAAAUUUCUGUUCUAUCACAUAUACAGGACAGACUCAGAUGAUCUUUCUAUGCAUUAAUAUAUCCCUUCAGCAGAAAUUCCCCGUCUUUUAAGCAGCGUGUUCUUGAUGCUAUUCAUUUACUGUAACAAUCCUUGAUUAUCCGCAAACUGUUUCUAAAGGUGAUUACAAUUUUGUCAAGGAAUCCUUCUUUUUAAAGGACUGUGAUUUUCCUCUUCGAUCAUUUCGCUUUCCCCUCUAGAACCCGCACCAGAUAAUAAAAUUCAGUCCUCAGUUGCAUGAGGAACAAUGGCAUCUAAUGUGUAGCAAUAAAAGAAAAUUAAAAUCUUUCACAUGAAAAACUAAAUUAAAUAGGGUCAACAAUUUAGCAACCAGACAAAUCUAUAAACAUUACUCCUAUACAGAGGAAGCCUGUCGUAAGAAUAUUUAUUCUUACAUCAAGAUCUAAAAUGCAGUACAUUUAAACCACAUAUGACUUUCAUAUAACAAUUUUCUUUCCAAUUUAGUAGCCAUGGCAUUUAUGUUUUAUUUGAAGAAUAAAUAUUUUUUUAAAAAAUAUUUUGGUUCUUGAAAUUGAAGUGGUUAAAAUGUUUUUGGUUUUGUUUUCAAAUGGCAGAUAUUCAUUUACAUUGUGGAGUGCAAUUUAUGAAUAAUAUGCACAUUUCCCCAACACAUCCAUAACUAAAUGCUAUUACGCCACAAUUCAUAUGACACCAAGACUGUAAGCAUGCAGAAAGACGUAUCUAUGAACAGAGACGUGUUGUUUUGGAAAAGAAAAAAAUUGCAGCUCAAAUAGCAAUGUAAAUUCUUUUCCCCGUUGCAACAGACACGGAAUUUUGUAUCGUGCUGUUUAAAAAUAAACUUGUAAUUCCAUGUGCCAAAAGGACAGAACGGGAAGCUGGAGAAGGUAUUUUUAAAACCCUCUUCCAAUUAACAGAAAGGGAUCCCCAGAGCCAAGUCAUAUUCAUUAAUUUAAAAUGCUUGUACAAAACAAAUCUUUCUAGAUAAAACCCAAGUGUACUUGGAUUAAAAAGAUAUAUGUGCUGAAAUGUAUAUACUGCAACGUUACGGGGGGGGGGGAGCACCUGUAAACAUUGAUAUCAGACAUUAAUAAAAAAAUAUUCUGACACUUAAUGCACAGUUUCUCAUUAAUAAUUAAAUUAUUAAUGAUAAUACAAUAAAGCCAUUUUGCCCUUAUAAGACACAUUCCUGCUGACGACUCGUUCUGUUUUCAACAUUCCACUAAACAGAAAAGUAAAAGGCUGGCUUUUCGAAAAGCAAUACAUGGUAAGAUUAUUCAUCAUUUAUACUCAGCAUAAAGUCUCCUUCAGAGUGAACUGUAUUUUGGAGCAAAUUAUCCAAUUAAACAUAUGACUGGUCUUUUUUUAUUAAAAAAAAAAUCACAGGAUUUCAUCACGAGUCAGAACAUUACAUUCAAAUUUCUUUUCCGCAUAUACAGCUACAAAAAAGUGAAGUGUGAGGAAUUGUAAUGAACCAGAUAGACUAGUCUGGAGCCUUUUUUACAUAAUCCCUUCAUGUAGAAUCAGGACUUAUUUGGGAUUGACUGAAUUGCCCGUGGAUUUCAGAAAUCAUUGUUUGCUCUUGGUUCAAGGAAGAAUAGUCUUUUUCUUGACAUAAAAAUGUCAAAAAGUUAUAUAAUUAUAUUUUAUGAUACCAUUAUAAUUUCUGUCCAUUCUUUCAAAAUAUAGCAUUAAGCUACUCCAUUAUCUUAUCACUUUCUUAAUCUUUCCCCUUUUACAAAAAGAAUUGACAAAAUUAUCAUUGAUCUUCCACCAGAUGUUGUACUGGGUGCCCUUUUUUUUUGCAAAAUACCUUUGUUAAUCUGACCUCUCUUAAUGAUUACGCACAUAUUCCUUAGUAACUGAAUAAAACUUUUCUUUCACAAGAUAGCAAGUGCUUAAUCCUCAUUAUUGGGAAUAUGCUAAAACCUUGAAUACUUGUCAAAGAUUCAUUUUAUAAUCCUGAGGUUGGUUUGCCUUUAGUGAUUUACACAAGGGCUGCGAUUACAAUAAUUGAUUUAUCCUGUACUUAAAAUCUACUGGUGACAUUAAAAUGACAUUAACCAAUUUUUGCUGCUGGAGUUUGGAUUUACUUUAAGGAGAGGUAAGAUUUGUCAUUACAUAUGUCUUAAUAGAACACUUGUGACUUAAAACAGCUAGUUCAAAUAUAGCAGAAUAGAAGAAAAGCUAAGUCUAUCGAAUUGAAGCAGCUUAUUAAAACAACAUCAGUUAAGGAUGGAGAGCAAAUUUGCUUUAUUAACCUUUUUUUGCAUGCUAUCUGUUGACAUAAAAACUUUGCUUUAAAGUGCAAGUGCUAUACUCUCUAGAUCUAUUCCUCAAAAAGUAUGAAAAGAGGAGAUUUGCAUAAUAAAAAAAGCAUGUUUUAUCUGGAGCGUUAAAGAAUUUCAACAUGCAAACAUUCACAUAUAUGUUCACAAUUAUCUCCUAAAUGGAAUAUAUAAUCUGCCAUAAUUCUUCAUUCGAUAUAUUCUCAUGCAAGAGGGGAAAGAAUCAUAUGCUAGUUGUUGAAGCAAUUCCUCACUGUGACAUGUACUUCCAUUUUCUUGAGUAUGUUUCUUGAGUGUGUUUGACUUAAGGAUUAGCUAAAUGUCCCUCCCAAGGAAACUAUGGUGUUUUCCCCCUCAGGUUCUGGUUUUCUGAUAAGAAAAAGCUCUCACUGAAUGCAGCAAUUAUUGCACCGAAAACUGGAAUAAGGAAUAAUUUCUAUUCAAGAAAAAAACCAGGAUAUAAAUAAUAAUAAUAAUAAAAGAGUUUGGAACAGCUCUUUCCAUACAUGUCAUGUUAGUUUUAAUUAUGCUUCAUUAAAGCUCCUAGAUAAGUAAUAGUGAUUACCAUGGUUGGUUCAUUAACACUGUGAUUUUAGCCACAGCUGAAAAACAUGCUGUAAAAAGUUAAUAAGGACCAAAAAAAUAAUAAUCAAAUAUACUGCAGAAGGCACAGAAAGAACAAAGACAGUUUGAAAUAAUUAUGAGGCCAAAAGCUGAUCAGGUGAGCUGUCAAAUGUUGCCAGCAACAAAUCAAGUACAGUGUACGCAGAAAGAAAUCUUGCUUUGCAUAUCUACUAACAAAUUACCCAGAAGGAAUAUAUAGGAAGCUUCUCCAUAUACUUGAGAGUUUUGCAGAUGCAGGGUGCCAUGCAACUAAUGUCAAUGUGUGGAAGACACAAGAGCUACCCACCAGGGAAGAAUGGCAGAUGAAGCUGAUGGACUACAUGGAACUGGCGGAAAUGACUGGCAGAAUCCGAGACCAGGGAGAAGAGUUGGUGGAAGAAGAUUGGAAAAAAUUUAAAGUAUAUUUACAGAAACAUUGUAAAAUUAAUGAGUGUUAGAAGGAUGCUGGAAUGAAACUAUAUGGUUUUAGUAGAAAUGUAACAAAGAAUUAAGUAAAAGCUGAUUGAUAAUGGGCCAAAACGAAAAAAUUUAAGGUUAGAUUGUUAAGAUAAAUUAUAGAACAAAAAUUGAGAAAGAUGGAAAGAAUUUGCUGAAAUAGUGAAUUGAACUAGAAUACAAAAAAGGGAGGUGUGAGGAGGUCGAUGAAACAAGUAAAGGAAAGGUAAAGAUAUGGAAUAUUGGGUGUGUGUUUUAGUCUUUUUGUUUCUUUUUACUGUAUUGUUGUAUUGCUUUUCUAUGUUUUUCUUUUUAUGUAUUGUAAGGUAUGUUCUGGGAUUUUUUGAUUUUUUUAUUGUUGUCUUUUUUUCUUUUUUCUGUAAUCUUUAAACUUCUAAUAAAUAUCAUUUAAAAAAUAAUAAUGUCAAUGUGUGGAAGACUGAAAGGCAUGAUAUUUUUGUAUGAAUGUUGAAGCUGGAAAUAAGUUGCCUUUCCCUAUUUUUUCACUGAUUUGCAUUGCGCUUCCAUUUCCUAUUAGGAACAUAGGAAGCUGCCUAAUAUCAGACUACAUUUGUGCUCCCCAGCCCAAUAAGCCUACUAUGACUGGGAGAGAUUAUCCACGGUGUCUGGCAGAAGCCUUUCCCAUCACCUGCUCUACGUCACCCUUUUUAUCCGAAGAGACCAAGGCCUGACGAUGGGAGCAUUCACAUGCAAAGCAAGGCACUCGGCUGCUCACCAUGGCCCUUCACCUGUUCUCAGAUGUACCUUGGUCUCUACCGGGCAAAUUAAACACAGCAACAGCAUGUGUUAGAACUGGGUUGCCAUCACUGCUAUAUAAAGCAAGGCAAAGCUAGGGUGAUUUAAAAGUGCAGCAUGAGUGAGUGGGUGGUAGAAAUUAUGUGCGGAACCCUUUCCCUUUCUUCAUUCCUGCCCCCACCAUUUCAAAACAUGUCUCCUUUACUGUUUCUUUUGCCCAUGAAACUCUUGUGUCUGGAAAUAACCCUUAGUAGGAGAAAACUAGUGUUUUGGGGAGAGCAAAGUGGGAAGGGUAAGUUUCAGGACCUGCUUCUGCCUGUCUAUGCCACACUGUAAAUCCAGUCAUCAGAGGCACUUCAGACAUCAAUUCUGGUUUCUCUCAGUUUCUCAUUUUUCUAAUCUUAAAUUCAGGUCUCCGCAUUUCCACAACAGUUUGCAUUUUUUUAAAGAAGUCUUCAUGAAAAUUCACCUUAAUUUUAGUGCAAAUUUCUCCUAAUAUACACAUUAAUAUAAAAUGUUUGCAAAGCAACCUUUCCCCAAUAUAAUGCCUUUUGUGUGUUGUUUUCACUCAUACAUGCAUUCAUAGGGACACUUUACACUAGCAUAUGCAUUUCUGUACACAUUACUUGGCUAGAGAACUGCAUUGCAAAAUUCAGAGAAAUUUGAAUUUUGAAGGCUGGUUGUGCUUUGGCUUGGAUCUUUUAUGGGAAAAUGUGAAUGAGGUAAGUUUGCCUUUAAAUGUGAACAGAAUCAAAUUGCUACCCCAUUCCUAUCCGAACCCCUUGGCUAUCUGGGGUGCACUGGGAAGUUACAGGGCACAGAAGUUUUUCUGUGGAAAUGCCCCAGCCUUGGAACAGGCUGCCCAAAGAAAUUCACCUGGUGCCCACUCUCCUGUCUUUCUGGUAACCUGCAAGGACCCUUUUACUUUCCCAGGCUUCCACUGAUCUGUUGUUGUUGUUGUUGUUGUUGUUGGAAUCCAUCCUAACCACAAUGGUUCACACACACCCCCACACACAUUAUACUUUGAAAGAAAAUGUAAAUGGCAGUGAGACGGGAGGGAAGAGCUCUGCCUCCUUCCAUUGUGCUCUGUGGGCCUCUACACACAUACCAUUACAUUCUCCAUCCUUAUAUUUUUGCAUACACUGAUGCAAUGGGAUAGUGGAGAGUGUCAUUACUUUAGCACAAUCUGAAGUCUACAUAAAACCUAUAGGUGAGAUUAUUAUGGUUUUGGAGUAAGGCAUUGCCAUGCUGAUAACAUCCAGCUUUGUUGGUGAUUUCAGCAAACUCAGGUUUUGGUUAUGAAGCAGCCUUUGGCAGGUACGGCAAACUGGAUGCUAACUUCCCCAGCAAGGGCCAGCAAAGGCUCCUCUCUGAAAUACUAAAUAGCAACUGCUAAUCAGUACAGUACAGAGAAUAUUGAGUUAGAUGGCAAAACAGGUUUUUUUUUUGUUUUAAACAGCAGUAGGAAACCCCUUAUAGUCCAUUUUGCCUGUCCCUCCAGGGGAAGGGAAUUCCAAGACCAGUGAGCCACAACAGAGGAAGACCCCCUACCAUAUUGCCACUCAGUGGGUUAAACCCACUCGGGGCACAACAGAUCUGCCAAUUGCAGUACCUGGGACUGUUUAUAUGGGAGAAGGCACUUUGACAGAUAGGUAGUUCUUAUCUGGGUCCAAUGAGCAAGAUCCUCUCUCAGUUUUAGCUGCAUACCAAGGGUGUAGAAAUCAAUACUUUAUCUUUGGUAGCCCCAUUUGCACUCAACCACCUGUGCAGGUAUAUCAGGAGCCAACAAACACCUUCAAUUUCAACAGGACUAAGCAUGUUUACUUAAAAGCAAUCCCAACCAGGGCCAGCCCUACUGUAAGGCAGAGGGAGGCCAUUACUUCAGGUAGCAGGUUCCAGGGGCGGCAGCAGCCCUCUGGCUAUUCUUUCUAAUCCCUCUGGUGGAGAUGAUGAACUAUGGCUCACCUAGCCUGCUGCCCUUUAGGGGUACUGGAGAAUGCAAUCCUGUUGCCAGUGUUGAAUUUGGAUUCAGCUACUAGUCUGGCCAGCUUCUGUUGUGGGUGGCACGUUGUCCUUUGCCUCAGGCAGCAAAAUGUCUCCCACUGUGCUCAGUGGAGCUUAUUCCUAAGUAAGCAUGCAUAGGACUGCAGCUUUACUUUAUUUGAAGAAUGAAACUAUAAGCCAUAUAGCUGUUAAAGUGUGUUGUGCUUCCAGGCAGUAUUAUAUAGGAGUGGUGAAGCUCUGUUCCCAGUUUUGGAAACUGAUGAACUCUGAAUGUGCUACAGUCACAAAUUAUUCAAAUAUCCUCUAGCUAUUGGGGACAAUGUGUACAUUUCUCAAGCACAUACAUUCAUUGUAUUUGCUGGUUCUCAAUCUUGGCUGAAAAUUAUUAUCCAUUUUGUCAAAGGCGGAGUUCUAUGUAAGUCAAAGGCUUGCAUAAUCUUACACUAAAUUGAUUUGCUUAAGAGAUAAUUUUAGCUAUUUUCUAUCAAGCGUAUUUGGAAAUAGUUGUACUGCUUUAUGACAGGUGUGCAGAUGCUAGCCAUCCUAUUGGGGGGGGGGAGUUCUGUACAAACAGAAAACUGCAGGAAGCCUUGAGCAAACUAGCAAACCCAAUUUCAGUUUCUUAUUGAAAUUCCCUUUCCCCACAACUCACUGAAACAGGUAAAUAUUACGGUGGAUAAACUGCUUAAAAAUGUUAAUCAAAUAACUGCAGUGAAUAACCAGAUCUCUAGUCAGGAAAAACCCAAGUAUGAAGUGCACUAAAGCAAUCCUUCUUUCCUUCUUUAUCUUGUCUUUGUUGAUGGUUACAAAGAACGAUAUGACAUGAGCUGAAACUUAUUGGUAAACUUCUAAAAAUGGGUAGGACCCAGACUUCACCUUCCAUGGAUGGGAAAGAAGGAUCCCAUUGCCAAAGAGAGAAUGGAUACAAAGGGAGGAACAAUCAUCUCUUCCUCCAUGGAUGGAUGCAUCAUCCUUUGAGAGGAACUCGGUUAAGGGAUGCUCCAGUUGGUGGAAGGGAAAUCUGGAUCCAACCCAAUGGGAGGAAUUCAGCUUGGCACUAUGUCCAAAGGUUAGCAUUUCAGCUUGCAAGGUGGAAUGAUCCCCUUUUCUCCCCCCCCCCCACUGUUCUGGGGGUUUUCCUGACCGUCUCAAGCCAAUUUGGGAGCAUGGGGGCACAUGUGAGUGAAGAUGGGGGAAGGGAAAUGUCCUUGCAUGAGCUUCUGCUAGUGAGACUCAUUAGUUGAAUCCGGUCCAAUGUUUCUAACUGUAGUGAACUGAACCUCCAUUUCUUUUCCAUUUUCUUCCCCUCACGCUUUAAAUUCAGGAAACUUUUGAUCAACAGGCAAAUUACACAUGAUUUAAGAUUAUUUUUCCUGAAUACAGUGGUACCUUGGUUUUCAAGCUUAAUCCAUUCCAGAAGUCUGUUCCAAAACCAAAGCGUUCCAAAACCAAGGCAUGCUUUCCCAUAGAAAGUAAUGCAAAAUGGAUUAAUGCAUUCCAGACUUUUAAAAAUAACCCCUAAAACACCAGUUUAACAUGAAUUUUACUAUCUAACGAGACCACUGAUCCAUAAAAUGAAAGCAAUAAUCAAUGUACUAUACUAUAAAACAAGUAAAACAGUAUUGUAGAUGAUAAAAGUUAAAAUUAAAGCAAUUUCUUACCUGCACUGAUGAUAGUCAUUGUUUGGAUGGGGGCUUUUAUCCAUUUCCGCAGUCACACAAUCAAUCAAUCAAUCAAUCAAUUGAUCAAUCAAAUUAACUGAAAAAGCCUCAAAACCAAAAACGCAAAAUAAAUAGCAAAAACAAAAACACCAAAUAUAAGCUCCAAAUAUCACCUCCGAACACUGCAAUCAGAAACGGAAGGCUUGAAUUACAAUGGGGGGAUGCAAAUUAGCAGUGCAACAGGAAACACAAAAACUGAGGUACCACUGUAAACCCCGUUUAAGCAGGGAGGGAAUUCCAGGGCAAGGCUAUUCACACCAACACCCUCUCCACUUCUUCUACUGCUCCUCCUUUCAUCUGACUGCUAGCUCUUCCAGGGAAAUUCUGACUACCCUUCACCCCGUCCUCUCAAGUACUGUAUGAGAUAAUGAGCAUGCUAGUGAGGAUAGCAGUGUCUACCAGAGGCCAAAGUGAACAGCCACAGGUAUCCAAAGUGUACCUCUUUAACCUCUCCCAAUUUGUGUCUUAUCUGGGUCAGAAACCAAAGUGCUAACCCACAAUUUCCCAUUAAUUUCUGCUCCGAAUUCCAAUAAUACCGUGGGUGAAUAGGGCUUCUAUUUUGGCGGAAAUACAUUUUGCUUACAUAGGGCCCUUCUGUGAGCCCCUAACUCUAUGAUCUUUCACUUUUAUUUGAUAUCUGCAAAUCCACAGCUUGGCAGAAGAAUGCACAUUACUUUCUCAGUUUAGCAAGGAUCGCUGUAACCAAGAGUAUUUUCAUAUUACACCAAAAAGUGCCUUUUGACUUUUUCAUGGUUUUUAUCCCAUCUGUGAUUGUUGUUAUUGAGGUGGAAUCUAGACACAUAUUUUUUAAAAGUCGUGAAAAUGCUUUUUAAAAAAAUGUUUUGAAAAAUAUAUUGAAUAUGCCAUAGCUCAUCAUCCCCAUCUAGUGUCACAUUUGUAUAAUGCACUUUAAAACAUUUUAUUUGCAGCUGUAUAGCUGAGUCCUAGGUGAGAAUGUUUGGAAGAGAUAUUUAAUUACAAGGCAGCCAGUUUAGACUACACAACAGUUUACUGAUAUAAACCAAAUUCAAACAUGUUGAUAAUAAUCAGAGAAACUGAUAACAGAGAAAGUUAUACUGUCAUAGUUUAGGGCUCAUCCAUAUGGCAGUUUAACAUGAAUUUGAAGCCAUAAGUGCCUUAAAUAUUUGUACUUUGUCCACUUGAUUCUCUCCCCAUUCAGCAGGCAGCCUGCAGUUUCUCAACAGUAAAUGUGGAUUUUUUAAAUUCUGGAAAAAUCCGUAUUGGGGGACUAAAUACAAUAUAAAAUUCCUUGUUACCCAACUGUGGAUGCACUGUGUGGACAGGUUCUCUGGCAACAUCUCCUACUUAGCCCUUCAGACUGUAUUUUAAAAUGUUGAUUCUUAUUUUACAUUGUUUAGAUGGAGCUGUUUACCAACAUUGUUUACCAACCCUGGAUGAGAUCUUCACGUCUCGCACUUUGAAGAAGUCACACAAUAUCCUGAGAGAUCCCACCCAUCCUGCUCACAACUUCUUUGAACUGUUGCCUUCGGGCAGAAGAUAUAGGACAAUGAAAACACGAACCACACGCCUUCUGAAUAGUUUCUAUCCAAGAGCUCUGAUUGCACUAAAUAAUGAUCUCAGGGCCAGUUGCAAGGAAUAGCAAGCAGGGAGUAGGAAGGAAUGAGACAGGUUUUUAGGUUAUGUUAUGCUUUUAAUAGGUUAUGUUACAUUCUGGAGUAUGAUAUGUUUUUAUAGAUUAUGUCUGAAUAGGAUGAGAGUGUUGGAGAUACGUGCAAAUGUGUAUGUGAACCCGGUCUUCGAGUGGGUGUUUGAUUUUCGUUGUUGUGUAUACUGUGUAUAUACGGACAAUGACAAUAAAUUUAUCUAUCUGUUUCAUUGUGAAACACCUAGAUUUACUUUUUUAAUUAGAUGAUACAACUGCUACUAAAUAAACAAGUUGUAAUUUGUUUUGUGAAUUAAACUCAUAAAAUAAUCUGUUAAUUAUAAAAGGGUACCUGAUCUUUCUCAGAGUCUUUGAAAUUCAUUGCAACUAUUCAUUCUUUACAAUUGAUUUGACUUUGAGUUUCACUUGCAAUGUGUUUCUUCAAGGACUCAAAGGAGGAAAUAAAAACAGGUUAAUGUAUCUUUAAUUACUGUGAUAAAGGCCCAUAUUAUGAACCUCCCAAGAUGAGGCUGCCAAGAUAUUGCCUCUGGCCAUGGCAGAAAACUGCCCCAGAGAACUUCCCAAGAAUAAAGUCAAUUGCCCUCCUACAUAUUAACCUCUGGGAUUGUAGGAAAUGGUUGACCCAAGCCAACAAGAGUCUGCCUACAAGAGCUGUGACUGAGCUGCAGAAACAGAAAUUAGAAAGCCACAGGACAACAAGGAGCAUUAAAGUAGCAGAGGAACAUGCAUGAAACAGAAACAUGCAUCAGAUUUAUACCUGAAUUUCGAACAAUUACUUUUCCCCUGUAUCCAGUAGUACUUACCCCCAGAGUGGGAGGACACUUUUGGUACAUGCUGCUUAGCCGGAUCCCCAAGAGACUAGGUCUCUCAGAGAUUCCUCAGAAGAGGCCCUUCAUUUGCUACCCAACUCUCUCAGAAAACAUUAAAUUGAUCCCACUCAGUCCACACAAGGACUUUGUUUUUCCAUGUCAUGGAUCUUAUGAGGAAGUGCUUUAGCUCAGUUAUAGGCUUCGUCUAAAUUCUUGUUUGGCUUUUAUUCUUAUCAGUCUCAUUUACAGGGAUGGCUUUCUUUAAGAAUGCCACCAGCAGCUAAUGUUUCCUCCUAGGUUAUAUGAAAAAAACAGUUUCGCAGAAGACAAAUUUUGUGUGAAAAGGGACUCCAGUUCAGUCCCUGACAUCUCCCUUUACAUACCCUCCAAGUGUCCCGAUUUUCCAGGGACAGUCUCGUUAUUACAAAAAGCCAUCCUGGUUUCUGAUUGGAUCCUGGAAUGUCCCUAUUUCCCUUGCCCGCACCACUGCCUAGCUUGGGGAGGAGGAUGAGCUAGCGCUUGUCCUGAGCAACGACAAUGGCAGCAGCUGUGACUUAAAGGAGCAUCCUUUUGCCUCUCCACUGCCACUGGCCUCCUCCCUUAUCAGUGUGCGUCUUUCUUUUUGCAAAUCUACCAAAGAAUAAAAUAAAAUCGGGAUUAAUGGGUUUUCUCAGGACGUUGGAGGAUGUGCACGUUGCGUCCUGUUGCCUUAGUGGUGGUGGCACUCGCCCUUUUUCUGAGAGGAAAUGCUCUGUCUGGGGCAGGCGACACAAAAAAUGUGAGGUCUAGGAGGAUCAGUUUGAGGGGAUGGGGGCAGAGUGGGAAGUGUCCCUAUUUUCAUCUGAGGAAUGUUGGAGCAUAUUCAGUUAGAGAUGGAAAAGACAGCUAAUGCCAGUCAGCGGAGCCAGUUCUGAGGCAAUGUGAUAAGGCAGCUUCCUGGGAUACAAAGGGCAGCUUCCAGACAAAAAACAUUUUCAAGCAUCUUGUUCGGUUUUCAGAUCAGAUUACCAACGAAGAGUGCAAAAUAAAUUAUAAAGCUGCUGCCAAGCUGGAUGAUAAUGAAGUCAUUGCAACUGCUAAAAUGUCAUUAUUUGAAAUCACAUGUUGCAGACAUCUCAAGUGGAUAGGGAACUGCCUUUCUCGGCCUGGUCGUUCCACUUGGGCCCUGUCACUCUAAGAACCGCAGCCUGCCCAAUCAAGGCCUUGUCUUAUGUUUUUACCCAAACACUAAAUGAGCUCCAUUACGAGGGUGGGUAAUGGCUCCUGGGAAGCAGCGUUUGCUCUGGGGUCAGCUGCCCCAGGGACAGAGACAGACACAAAGCAGCCUGGUGAAUAAAACUCAUCCAUUCCUCCCUACCUCCCACCCAGCCAGCCACCCCCACUCCCCCUCUGUAACCUCUAAAAAGAAGCUGCUUUGGAGUCUCCUCUCAUUUGCAUGGGGAGAUUUAAUUUCCAUCCCUUAAAUAUGACGAAUUGCUGAGAUUUCCUUCAGUUAAUGCUUUUAACAGCUCCCAAUAAACUUCAUUAAUCAGUCCAGCUCUAGGCCCAACGUGCAGCCUGGAAGCAGCUAAUUUGCCUGAUGAGCCUGAGACUUUAGUGAAUAAACAGGUGGAUAAGCUGAGGGUUUUAUGGCCUUAAUUACACUCUAAUCAGUUCAACGCUUGGCGGGCAAAAAGGAAAGAGGGAAGAAGGAGGCAGCAUGAUCAGCCAUCCCUUCAUUAUUAUUAUUUUUUCAACUGGUGCCUCAUUUCUUCCACCAUCCUCAUCUUCUCCCGAUUUUCUGAUAGAAAAGGCAGGAAAAGGGGAGUGAAGUGAAACAGGGACAUGUGUUUCUAAGGUUUUAGGAUAACCGACAAGAUGUCUUUAAGCCGCCCUUCUACAAUCUCUUAGUAACGCAACCUCUGUUGCCUUUUCCUCUGCAUUUCUUUCACAUUUCCUCUUUCUUUUCUUAUUCAUUCCUCAGUCUUUGCAAAUUUACAAGAGGUCUUUGGGCUUCCUGGUUACAUAGAUCCAUGUCAUAGGACAGGGAAUUAUGUGGCCCUUCAGACCCUGUUGGACUACAUUUCCUAUCAGCUGCAGCCAGCAUGGCCAGCUGUUAGGGAUGAUGGGAAUUGUAGUUGAACAGCAUAUGCAGGGCUGUGGAUUCCACAGGACAACAAGGCAUUUAUUUUAGAAUAGGACAGGAUCUACAUAACAGAUUUCACAGCUGUGUUCGAUGCCUUGAAGUUUGGAAAUGCUUUUCCCUACUCAUUGCCCCAGUUUUGUGUGGCUCUACCAUUCAGCAGACUGAGGUGUCCACCUCAGCAGCCAAUUUUGGGCAGUCAUGAAAGGGCAGCAAAUUGUUGUUGUUAUUAUUAUUAUAUUUUGAAUUCCAUUGUGCGGUACUUGUGGGAGUUUAUGUCUCAGGUGCCAAAUAACUUGGCCAGUCUUGGAUAUUAUACACCCUCAGUUGGGUAGAGAGCUACAAUCUGCUAUUCAACCUCAGGCAUCAAAGCAUUAUGGCCCAGCACUGAUGCAGCUAAAUUUAGACACUGCUUUCUCAAUCCAGCAAUGUUCCCAACUCUAAUAUUAUCUGGAAGCUUUGUACUCAAGGGUGAUGUGCAACCCCAAAAUCCAUGGGAUAGUUUUAGUUAAACAAUGGUCAGGGAAAGGAAUAUGGGAAUUACUGUAGAACAGUGGUUAAGAGUGUUAAACAAGGACCAGGGAGACCUGGGUUCAAAUCCCCCCUCAGACAUAAAGUAGCUAGAGGAAAAGGGGACAGAGUGUGAAGAAAGAGCUAUGAGUGGAGGGGGCCCCUCUUCCCAUCCUUUGGACCCCUUGGGAAACUCAACAAACCUGUUGCACCUGGAACUGGCUGUGGCAAAUGCAGAUGAAUGAGACCCAGCUGUGGGCAACCUGAGGAAGUACCAUCCACCUUGGGUCUGCCCAUAAAAAGCAAGUCUAGAGUGAGAGACUAAGGGUGGAUCUACACACAAGAAAAAAAAUACUAUAAAUAAGUCAGAAAUUAAAUCAUUUAUAACAAAAGAAAAGAAAACCCUAUGUAAAAAUCGCAUAGAAAAUUUGUUUGCUCUCUGGCGCCAUCUGGUGUUGCAUGUUUAUAACACAUUCAAAGUGUUGUUGUUUGACUAAUGUAGCUGAGUCCUAAAGUUGAUAUCCACCCUUUCCAGGAGACUUUUGUGGGUGAGCUGAGAGUUUGUUUGUAACCUGGAGGCUAAGAAGGAAGGAGUAUGAAUUGACAUAGACAGAUGGAUAGAUUAGUAACUUUGUAUUAAUGUAACAUGUUUAUACACAAAGGUGUAUUUUUGUAAUAUUUUGUUUAAGUUGUCUGUUGUUGCUUCAGUUUUUUGUAUACUGCUUAGAGAUACAGUGGUACCUCGGGUUACAUACGCUUCAGGUUACAUAUGCUUUAGGUUACAGACUCCUCUAACGCAGAAAUAGUACCUCGGGUUAAGAACUUUGCUUCAGGGUGAGAAAAGAAAGGCAGCAGCAGGUGGCCCCAUUAGCUAAAGUGGUGCUUCAGGUUAAGAACGGACCUCCGGAACAAAUUAAGUACUUAACCCGAGGUACCACUGUAUUUUUAAUAUAUUUAAGUGGUAGAGAAAUUAAAUAAUGAAUCACUGGAUGACCUUGGGCAAAUCUCUAUCUCUUAGCCUAAACUACCUCACAAGGUUGCUGUGAGGUGGAAAUAGGGACGUGGGAAAAUAAUUUUGUAAGCUGCCUUGAACUCCUUGGACCAAAUGCAAGAUAUAACUUUAGUAAAUAAACAUAGGCUCAAAGAUACUCUCUUACACACUGAGUUUUAACACGUUCCAGAGCUCAAUCCUGCCUAGUGCGUAUUUACCUCAUAUUAAGUCCUGGACACCAAGUCUGCACAUUGGGAUGCCAUAUUCCUGAGGGUGCUUAUAUUCAUGGCACCAAAUGUAUUUUUUAAAAAAUAAAUAUUUUAUUAAGACUUUUCAUAAUAUAUUACAAUAAAAAAUAAAAUAAACAAAAACAAAGAAUUGAGAGAGAGAGCAACAAAUGUACACCAAAUGUACUUCUGACUUCCCCUUGUACUAUUGCACACAUGUAAUUACUAGCCAUCACAGGGAGACUGAUGAAGGAAGGGGGGGUAUACAAGCCUCUCAAAUAAAUAAUAACAGAAGAACAACUAAAAUGUUGUUAAUACAGGCUGGUAACAGGACACUCCCCCCCCCCCAAAUGAGUAUGCAUUCACUGUAGCUGCCAUUGACACGGGAAAUGCAACUCCCCUUUUAAGAGCAUGUGCUGGGAGAGCUGUUUGAUUCAGGUAGGCUUGCUGAAUCGGCAGAAUGUCAGGGGAAACCUGGAUGCAUGGCAACGUGAUGGAAAAAGCAGUAGAAACAGCUCAAAAACUAUUUUGGGGUCUAGGUUUCCCCUAACAGAGCUCAACAAUUUGGGUUUGCUCCCCCCCCCCAAAAAAAAACCACCUCCACAACUUGGCAAGCGACAGGAAUUUCCCUUUUUGAAAUAUGGCAACCCUAGUCUGAGGGCCUUGUGCUUGCUGCGCACGGUCUGCCACUUCCAGGAACCAGGAGCGACGUUUCCAAACAAGGGCCAUCAUCCCUCAAGCUAAAAGGGCUCGGCUGCUGUGCUUCCGCAAUAAUGCACCGCACCCUUUGCCACCCUCCUCUUUUCCCGGUUGCCUGGCCUCCCCGAGUGCCCUUCACCUUUCCCUUUGCCCCGCUUUGGCGACCUUCUCUGCCCCUGGCUUCCAGGUCCCGCUUCCCUCCCACCACAUCGCCUCCCUGUCACGGCUAGGCCGCUUGACAAAUCACUUCAAGGGCAGCCUAACUUCGAAGGACAAGACAAAGCUUUAGCAUAUGGUCCAAUCCCCAGAUGUUUGUCUUGCGCUCGCGCUCGCGCUCUCCCUCCUCCCCGCUCCUCUCCCUCAUAAGAAGGGGCUACUUGGGAAGCUCAGCCUUCCUUCUUUUUUCCUUUCUCCCCUCAGGUUUUUGUCGGGGGGUCGCUAACUAGCAGCUUGAGCGGCUGGUCUCUUUAUAGCCCGAGAAGCGAGGGAGGAAAGAGACUGGGGAAGCAAGGAGGAGAAGAAGAAGGGGAGCUUUUGUGGAAUGUAAUGAUAUUUUUUACAGCCCUGGCUGAGGGGAAGUCUCAGAGCUGUUAACGCAGGUGCCACGGGGGCACUCCUCACCGCACACUGCUAGGCCGCGGAUGGCGGGAAAGACGAGUGUCGCCUCUGUGAUAGGAAUUUUGAGACCUCCGCUCUCUUUUGGCAUUGGCAAUAACACCCAUGGUCGGGGCUUUAAGCCACGAGGCAAAGUUCAGUGCUAGGAAAGGCAGCCGGGCUGUGUGUGUGUGUGUUAAGUAGAGGAGUUAUUUUCCUGAGCUUAGAAAGACAAGCCUGCUGGGCGUCCUUCCUUUGCUUUCAGCUGCAGACCGAGGUCCGUUGCAAAUAAAUAAGCUCCGGGCAGACAAGGGAAUGAAUGCUUCUGCUGCAGAGAAAGGAGAAGAUUGCAGGCUUCAUUCUGCAGCUGCUUGGAGAGAAUAGAAGGAGCAAGGGCAGAGGCCGCAGCCGGCAUCCUCUGGUAUAUAUAUAUUCAGAGCGCCUUCCUUGCGUGCAGGAGAGGCACACGUACCAAGCUAGUUUCCUUUUGGCUGAUCAGUGUCUCUCCCCCCCCCCCCCCCAAUUGCUCUUGAUAAAGUUGUAAAGGGAGGGAAAUAGCACCCACCCACACAACUGCAAGUGACGCUCUUCCCCGACGUCUUUGUUCAUUGUGAUUUCAGAGAAACGAGGAUGAGAAAAUUUGUGGAAGGGGGUGCAAAAUACUGCAGAACGUCUAGCCCACAUGUCCCUAAGUUUUAAUCUUCAGUUGCAGCAGUGCGCACUCCUAGUAUGCAUUCCACUGAGCACCAGCUGAUUCCUUGCUCAAGAAACAAUGACCUGCUUUUUGCAAAGGCAUUCAGCCAAAAGCAAGGGGUGGUGGGAAUGUGUGAAAGAAGACAUUUGGCAAGCAUCUUUAACAAUGAAAAACUAAGGGGUUGGGGUUCUUUCAGUUAAGUGUAGCCUAUUGAAAAAAAUGGUAGAGUUUCCUGGAGGGUACAAUCGCUUUUGUUCUCACAUAAGCUAUGAAGCAAAUGAUUUCCAACACUGUUUGAGAUGAAAAUACUUAACAGGGGAAUGUUGAGGUAAUAAAAGAUGCACUGAAACUUUUUAAAAAAAGAAGUUACUAAGAAAAUGGGAGCGAACCCUGAAAUAACAAGGUCCCUGAUUCCCAAAUUUUAGAUUUGAAAUCUACCUGUUUUUUAUUAUACCCCUUCUAUUAGGUGAUUGUUUUUAUUACGAUGAUCAUAGACUGCAGAUUUGCAUGUAAUCUACUUCUUGAAUAGUUUCAGAAUUUGAUUGAAUUACAAACAGCAAACUCAAUUUAUACAUGAUCGAUGCGGGAUAUUAAUUAGAUUCCACCAAUUUAUCCCCAUAAAGACGACACGGCAUUAAGCACAAUUAAAUUCCCAGUGUUCUUUUAUGGCAUAGAUUGUAACGUGUUCUGCUUAUACGAUUUUUAAAAGAAAAGAAAAAUCCAG
rnacentral:lncRNA from 1 species